UCUCAUUGCGAUUUCUUUCUU
rnacentral:piRNA from 1 species